ACCACGUUGUGAUUCAUGACUGGGGUGAAGUCGUAACAAGGUAACCGUAGGGGAACCUGCGGUUGGAUCACCUCCUUACCUUAAAGAAGC
rnacentral:rRNA from 1 species